rnacentral:lncRNA from 1 species
CCUGGAGUGCUGGCGGGAGUGGAUUCCUGGUAGAGGGGACAGCAGAACCUUCCAUGUCCCCCCACCGCUGUGUGGACCAUGAUUGAACACUUCCCACGCCAGGUCCCAUUUGACCCUGAAACAGUCACACAAGGUGAGGAAAACGAGGCUCGGGGAGGGGAGCGACUCCCAGAGGCACGAGUGGAUGGAAGGCGCCGGGGGCCGGUCACGCUGUGCGGCUGCAGUGUUGUGAGUGUCCCAGUGCCGGCAGAGGCGGCAGUCAGCCAUGCCAGGCGGGGAGUGGGCCACGGGAUCAGGCGAAGUCAUGAAGAGUGGACGAGGAAACAACAGAAUAGGCCACCUAAGCGACUGGUGCCAGCCUCCCCCAGCGAAGGGAAGAUGGGGACUUCCAAAAACGGGGCAUCCUGAGUCACCCCUCCGGUAUCGCUGCAUUUCCAAGCAUCCGAAGGCUGCCUUUGAACCUUUGAGGGGAGCACAGGCAGAGCAGGAGGUGCAGGGGGACCCCAGGGGCCACCCGACCUGUGAUGAAGGCGUGGGAAGCGCCUGUCGGAGGAGGCUCGGGGACCUGCUCAUCUCAGGGUCGCCCAUCUGCUGCCGUCACCGCAGAACCCAGAGUGUGGCGCCGGGUCUCCACCUCCAUCCUCAUCCUCCAACUCUUCGCCACUCAGCCCCACGCAGAAUGACCGGGCCACUACUGCGCUCUGUAGCCUUCAGUGGCUCCCUGUUGCCACCGUUCACUGUUGUGAAGCUCUAAGGCAUGGGCUUCGGGCGUCGGAUCCUGGCUCAGUGGAUGUCUUAGCUGAGAGCCCUGGACGAGUUUCUUA